UGGGGAAUAUUGGACAAUGGGCGCAAGCCUGAUCCAGCCAUGCCGCGUGAGUGAUGAAGGCCCUAGGGUUGUAAAGCUCUUUCGCCAGGGACGAUAAUGACGGUACCUGGAUAAGAAGCCCCGGCUAACUUCGUGCCAGCAGCCGCGGUAAUACGAAGGGGGCUAGCGUUGUUCGGAAUCACUGGGCGUAAAGCGCACGUAGGCGGAUCUUUAAGUCAGGGGUGAAAUCCCGAGGCUCAACCUCGGAACUGCCUUUGAUACUGGAGGUCUCGAGUUCGGGAGAGGUGAGUGGAACUGCGAGUGUAGAGGUGAAAUUCGUAGAUAUUCGCAAGAACACCAGUGGCGAAGGCGGCUCACUGGCCCGAUACUGACGCUGAGGUGCGAAAAGCGUGGGGAGCAAAGCAGGAUUAGAUACCCUGGUAGUCCACGCCGUAAAACGUGGAUGCUAGCCGAUGGGGAGCUUGCUCUUCAGUGGCGCAGCUAACGCUUUAAGCAUCCCGCCUGGGGAGUACGGUCGCAAGAUUAAACUCAAAUGAAUUGACGGGGUCAUAGCUGUUUCCUG
rnacentral:rRNA from 1 species